AACGAACGCUGGCGGCAUGCCUAACACAUGCCAGUCGAACGAGACCUUCGGGUCUAGUGGCGCACGGGUGCGUAACGCGUGGGAACCUGCCCUUAGGUUCGGAAUAACUCCCCGAAUGGGGUGCUAAUACCGGAUAAUGUCCUCGGACCAAAGAUUUAGCGCCUUUGGAUGGGCCCGCGUUGGAUUAGCUUGUUGGUAGGGUAAAAGCCUACCACGGCGACGAUCGAUAGCUGGUCUGAGAGGAUGAGCAGCCACACUGGGACUGAGACACGGCCCAGACUCCUACGGGAGGGAGGAGUGGGGAAUAUUGGACAAUGGGCGAAAGCCUGAUCCAGCAAUGCCGGGUGAGUGAUGAAGGCCUUAGGGUUGUAAAGCUCUUUUACCCGGGAUGAUAAUGACAGUACCGGGAGAAUAAGCACCGGCUAACUCCGUG
rnacentral:rRNA from 1 species